rnacentral:lncRNA from 1 species
UUCUCCUACAAUACAUACUCAGAAAGUCAGAAACUUACUUGCAGUAAAGAUUGAAGCUGAAUCACAUAAAAUCAGAUCCCAAACAUUCACCAGUCCUCUGAACUAGUGUUUUAUAAUCUGGGUCUGUUCUACUACUUACCCGUUUCCUAGUUAAUAUAUGUGAAGUUAUGAACCUUCCUUCUCUCCCUUUUCUGCUUCAGUUGCCUAUCCAACACUUGCACAACUCCAUAAUCAUUCAAAUUGGUGAAGGAAAGUAAAAGGGCUGCACCAAAACAUUUAUAAAAGCUAAAUGCAGGGGUGUAAAAAACAUAGCCCAGAGAGGGUAGUUCUCUUGUAGGUAUGCCUAUUUUUAAUUUCUACCUUCUUUUUUUUUUGUAUUUUAUAUGCAAAAAAUUGGGAUUGUUUCAUUUGUUUUUAGUUUCUUAUAUGCUAUACUAUUUUUGGAAUUGAAUGUUGUUUUAUGAAUCUUGUUUAAUUGAAGUUUAGAUUUGAGAUUAUUUAGUGUGACACACCAGUUUGUCUAUAGAUUCCGCGGCAUAUCUCACAUGAGAUAUGAAUCUUUCUACUAAUUAGGUGAGAUUUUAAUUUUCAUACAUAUAUGCCAUUAGUUUAAGUAAAAAAUAGGUAAUCUUGGUCAAACUUGUAGAUUCUUUAGUGGGUUAAAGAACUUCUUAUAUAUCAUUAUCAAACAACUGGGUUUAUCUCCUAGUUGGUUAAUUUGAUUAAUUUAUUGUCUUCGUUUUGCAGUGCCUUAUGUAAUUCUUUUGGUUAUGCUAUGAUUAUAAACACACAAACGCGCAUGUACGUGGAAGUUAUUGUAGGUUGAUGAGAGAUUUGUCGAUAUCUGUUUUCAUUUUUCAAACUUUGUGCGAUAUGUUUGUUAUGGUGGAGGAGUGAGGGAUGGAUAGGGAAGAUGGAAAAGUGAAAGGAUGAAGGAAUUUUAUUGGAGAGAUGAUGGAAAAGAGAAGAUUGGGAGGAAGUGUUCCCAUGCCUACCACUUCUUGUCCGCACAAAAGUGGGUGGAAAACCGAGGGCAAGAAGGGAUCUUUGAGGCAGGAAG